UACGUAGGGCGCAAGCGUUGUCCGGAAUUAUUGGGCGUAAAGAGCUCGUAGGCGGUUUGUCGCGUCUGCCGUGAAAGCCCGGGGCUUAACUCCGGGUCUGCGGUGGAUACGGGCAGACUAGAGGCAGGUAGGGGAGAACGGAAUUCCCGGUGUAGCGGUGAAAUGCGCAGAUAUCAGGAGGAACACCAAUGGCGAAGGCAGCUCGCUGGGACGGUACUGACGCUGAGACGCGAAAGCGUGGGGAGCAAACAGG
rnacentral:rRNA from 1 species